rnacentral:lncRNA from 1 species
AGAGCAGCACCCAGAUGAUAGAGGAUUUCAGCUGCCCACGGGAAUGAGUUUCCUUGGCUCACGGCAUCCCAAAUUUUGAACCCAAGGCAAUGAAAGGGAGUAGUAGGCAAAAUAGCCAUCUCAUUUAGCCCUCUCACCUCUCCAUCCUGCCCAUCCCCAAGAGAGCUAGUUGGUAUUGAUCUAAAAAUAGACAUUAUUCUAUCAAUUUGUACAUCUUAUGAGCCCUUAGGGAGAAAACAGACCAAACCCCUUUCUCAUAGGUGAAGAAAUAUUAAAGCCCAUUUAAAAGAAAAUAUUUUGAGUUCCCAUAGCAGUAGAGGUAGAACUAGAACCCAAGUUUUCUGACACCAAUCCCAGGUUAUAAAACGUAGUCCUUUCAAUUAAUCUAUGAAAAGAACAGUUAAGGGCAAUGCAGGACUUAUUUUAAAGUUUUUUUUUUUUAAAAGAAAAAUACGAGAGUAUAGUUGGUUUACAAUGUGUCAAUUUCUGCUGUACAGCAAAUCGACUCAGUCAUACAUAUAUGUUCUAUUUUAAAUCUUGAUCGCAGAAGGAACGUGGAGUUUAGAGCCUAGGGUAAGUUGUUUUUUAAAUGAUCACCAUGAUUCUGUCAAGCCCACUUGCCCCUUUGCAAUGUGACUUUACUACUCCUCGAAUUGAAAAAUGGAUGCUCUUUCUCCCCUUGAACCUUGAAGAGUCCUGUGACUUGUUUUAACCAAGAGUCUGUGACAGAAAUGGUGUUGUGCUACUUCUGAGGAUGGGCUUUAAGAAGCUCUCUUAGACUUAAAAUCUGUUAAGGGUAAGUCUUAGGUGUUCUUUCCAUUAAACAAGCAAACAAGUAAGUAAGUAAAUAAAAACAAAGAGGGCAGGGCAGGAGAAAACUUGGUGACGUGAUGGAUAUGUUUUUGGCCUUGACAGUGGUGAUGGUUUCCUGGGUAUGUAUUUAUCCCCAGACUCAUUGAGUUGUGUACAUUAAAUACGUAGAGCUCUUUUAUGUCAAUCAUAUCUUAAUAAAAUGGUUUUUUAAAAAGUCUUCUUGGGACACUGAGACCAACAUAUAUUGAAGCUGGUCUAGCCAGCUAUAGGAUGAGUGACAGGCUGAGAACCAAGGUGCUCCUGCCUUCAAUCAGCACCAACUGCCAACACGAGAGUGAGGCCACCUUGGACCAACCAGUCUUCCAACUCAGUGCAGCCAAACGAGUGAGUGAGCCCACAUGAAAUCAGCAGAGGAACUGCCUAGUCAACCCAGAGGACCAUGGGAAAUAUUGCAGAAUUAUUUUAAGCGCCGAAGUUUUGGGGGUGUUUGUAACUUAGCAGAGGUUAACUGAAACAGAGCCAGAAAACCUUAGCACGGAAGACAGUCCUGCCUCUUCAGGUGUGUUACCCCAAGGACUGGUUACAUAACAUCUUUGAAGACAUUUUAUGCUUAUGUACUAUAUGAGAUAAUACAUCAAAGGACCUAGGGUGUUGUCUGGCACAUGGUACCCUUAACAGACAUUAGCGUCCUUGCUUUGUCUUUUGUUCCUUCUCUCUGUAUUAUAAUUCACUUCAUGGGCAUCAACAUUCUUGUAGCUUUCCCUAGCUCACUCUUCCUCUGAACAGCAAUUUAUUUUGUCGCUCCUGGUUGAUGGCCUGGUGGUGUCCUUCCUCCUAACUCCCGAAUUUCCAGUAUUCUCGUUCUGCUCCAGGGAACACAUCUGCCUUCGAUAGUCUACCCUUAAAAUAGAAAAGGGUUAACCUCAUAAAGAUGUCACUCCCCUUGUACUGCUAUGCUGCCCUUGGGAGGGUCAAACAGCUAGCAAAUAUAUAUGGGCAAUGUAAUUGCCUUUGAUCUCCUAGGUCACAGAAGACUCUCCUAGCCAGUGUGGCAUCCAGGUGGGACAUAAGCAGAUUCUGUCUUGAAGAGCAGAGUUUCUCCGUCUGUUGAUCGCUAUUUUUGUUUUUGCUAGCAAAUGACUCUAAGGGCCUCAUUUUUUCCCAUCUUAGGCUUUGCAACAAAUAAUAAGCAAAGACAGUGAUAUAAUGAUAACUAUAUUAUACUUCUUAUCUUCUUAGUGAUAAUGGAAAGUAGUGGCUGCAGAAUUAGGUGUUGAAGGUCCCAGUGCUCCCACUGCUACCAGCUAGUAGCAAUUUAGUCAAGUCCUUUUACUUCCCUGGUAGUUACUUUCCGUCUUGGAAGGAGAGUGAGGGAGGGGCGCUUGGUCUGUGGUUGGCUCACCUCUGAAGUCCCGUUUGCACUAAUACACUUGGAGUAAGUUCCCUGAUAUGUUACUUUUGUUUUUCAACCUUCAAUAUAUAUUCAAUAUUCAAUAUAUAUUGAAGGUUGAAAAUAUAAUAUUCAAUAUAUAUUGAAGGUUGAAAAUAUAUCUGUUAGGAAGAGUAGAAAGAAGGAGAGAUGACAAGGGUGAGAAUGUUUUAUUUUGUUUUUUUUUGAAGGAAGCACUAGUAAGAGGGUCUGAAGUAAUCUCAGGAAAAGGGCUGUGGCAGAGGGCAAAUGCACAGCCUUAUUAACUGCUUAGCAUCCUUCCUAGAGGUAAUGAACAAAAUCUCUCCAUAUCUGACCCUUUUGGAUGGGGUUUAAGGGUUCCAGUAUGAGAAACACUGUUGUAGAGUUUGAUUUAUUGUGUUUACUUUGGGGGGGAAGCACUGAUUUUUUUUUUCCCCCUAGGUCCUCCCAACUACAUUUGGCAGCAUAUCUGUGGGUAAAGAAGUUUUCCAAUCUAAUCCCCCUGUGAAAUAAUUACAUGAAAUAUAAAAUGUAAAACGAAAAGGAAAAUAUUCUCACAGAGCCUUCCUUCCUCUGGAAUUGACUGGUGUUUUAGCUAUAUCCAUCGUGCUCUCCAUCUGUUUGUCUCUCGUUUGUAUGUAUAUAAAACAAUUGAAACAUGCAAAUGAAGGGAUGGGAUUUUAUAUUGUCACCACUUCAUUUUUUAAACAUGUUUCUGCUUUAAAGGGGAACUGCAAAAGAGAGUCACUGAGAAAUUGGCCUGGAGGAGGAGUAUUCAACCCACAGCCUCUCCUCUGCCCCUUAUCACUAAAACUCUAAACAGAGAGUAUAAUCACCUAUUUCCCAAGGGCAGCCCUAAGCCCUUAAAACUCAGAUCUGUUUAAGGAUUUACUAGAACUGGAAAAGAGAAAUGCACAGGAUCUGCUCCAAACCAACAAAGGAAAAUUUACCCGACCAAAUAUUCAAUCUAGAGAAUUUCUUUGAUAGCACACUCUCCUCCCUCCCUAUCUCUUGAUUUUGUUAGGACACAGCUCUUCAAAUUGCAUCUUCACGACUCCUAGAAUCUUGGGAGUCUGUGGAUCUGAGGCUCCAGGCCAGCCCAGGGCAUUUUCUUUCACAAAACAAGAUAUAACUAGCAGGAAGCCCAAAAGGGCAUUUGGUGGUAGUUGUCGUUUAUUUUGUUUCAAAGGGUAGACACACUCAGCUUCAUUGUCUCUUUUCUUCUGAGAUUUUUUUUUUUUUUUUAGGUGGAAAUGCUUGAUGUUAUGCUAUGAACCAUGGCUUUUCUUUUUAAAAACACUAUGAUAAAGGAAGUCUAGUUGCAUUUCUUUUCCAAUAGAUUGGGUUUUACUUUUGCUUAGAAAAUUACAUGCACACCCAUGCACACAAUUUACCAUGGUUAUUUUUUAGUAUAUAUAGUGUACUAUUAUUAGUAUAUAGAGAUACAAAUUGAUUAUAUGGGUGAUUUACAGAGAAAAUAGAAGUAAGGUGAUACAUUAAAGAGGAUGAUGGGGAAGACAGUUUUUAAGGAGAUUGCUCAGGAAGACAGGAGUCUGCUAAACUGCAGAGAGUAGGAAAGAGAAUGUUGUAUCCCACUGGUCAGUGUGGAGGGACAGGAGACCUCUAUUCUGGUCCACGCUUCACCGGUAACUAAAAGGGUGGCCUUGGGGCCAGUCAGUCCUCCUUUGCUUUUUGGAGUUCCCAUCAGCAACCCUAAAGGUUUGGAUUGCUCAGCAUUUUGCUUGGCUGGAUUAUGCUUGACACCCAGUAUUUGGCUCUGGUAUCAUCUCCUUGGAGACCCCUCCCUGGCUCCCCUAACUCUUGUUGACACACGUGCUUGAUGUCCCUCUCUCCUCUUUCCCUGUCACCUUAUCCCUUGGUAGAGGUUUUAUUGUCUUCAUAACUUCCAUCACCGUCUGCGUUUAUGUUGAUUCCUCAUUCAUUUGUGCCUUUCCUAUGUUUCCCCACUGGAACAUAAGCCCCAUGAGACCAGAGACCUUGUCAGUCUUGUUCACCACGCGCAUCCCCAGCCCCUAGCAGUUCCUGGAACAUUUUGGACCCACAAUGAAUAUUCGUUGAGUGAAUGACUAGAUCAGUGGCUUUUAAACUAGAGAUGUCUCACAAGUUUUUCAGGGAUGGAUGUAAGAAAGAGAGACGGAGAUACAUGUGGUGGGCCUCCAAGUUCCCCACCUCCUGUUUAAUUAUGUGUAUGUUAUGUAUAUGUGUUAUAUCUGUGUCGAUAUAUAUCAAGAGGUCUUUUUUGGCUGUAUGUGAGGCGUACAGAAGUUGCCAGGUCAGGAAUCAAACCCACAUCACAGCAGCAACUGGAGCCACGGCAGUGGCAAUGCCGGAUGCUGAACCUACUGACCCACACGGGAACUCACUAUAUAUCACUAAGUUUCUAAUGACACUAAAAUAUAUAACGUUAUAUAUAAAAACAGUAGUUUUUAAUCACACUAAGGCAUAUAUGUAUGUAUUGUGGAUAUCUAUAGAUAUGGAUAUGGGAUAUGGAUAUGCCUUAGUGUGAUUAAAAACAUGACUCCAUGUGCUACAACCAUUUGAAACAUACAGGGGCAUGAUGACCUUUUAAGAUUGUUCCCAGAUUGGAAUUUCUGUCGUGGCUUAGCGAAAACAAUCUGACUAGCAUCCAUGAGGAUGCAGGUGCGAUUCGUGGCCCCGCUCAGUGGGUUAAGGAUCUGGCAUUGCCAUGAGCUGUGGUGUAGGUCGCAGAUGCAGCUUGGGUCUGGCGUUGCUGUGACUGUGGUGUAGGCCGGCAGCUACAGCUCCGAUUUGACCCCUAGCUUGGGAACUUCCAUAUGC